rnacentral:lncRNA from 1 species
UUACACAUGCGUCAAAUGUCUUUGAUUUCAACUUCAGUAGCAAAAACAUUGUUAGAGUUGGUAAAUGUGAUUCAUUUCCAUGAAUUUUUGAUUCCUUGGCUCUCUUUCCUUGUCAAAGAGGUGCAGUGGUUCUUAAAUGGGCUCCAGUAAAAAAAUGGAUCUCACCAUCCAUUUUCUUCCAUCAGCGGGAAGAAACAACACCGGCCGCUACACUGUAUUACUAACCAAUCCGUUCAGCUCUGACAUGCAUCACAGGAACAUCAUAGUGCUGUAUGGACCCGAUAUGCCAGUUCUCAAGGUCAGUCCCACAAAAGCAGUCUUUGUUUCGGGCGAGUCUCUGUUCCUCUCCUCUCAGGCCGAGGGUGGGCCUCCCUCCGCCACAUGGUUUUUCAAUGGCGAGUCCAUCGCAACGUCUUCAACAGGAACAGUCAAUCUCACCAAGUCUCCCAGCGGUGAGCCGCAGUGUUCAGUACAGGCUGUGAAUGGAGGCGCAGCGCUGCAGUUCCUCUGUCUGUGGCCAGGCAGCGCUCCAGAAGCGCAAGAGUCGUUUCCCAGCCUGAGUGUGAAUGCCAGUGGAUACGGCAAUUACAGUAUGACUCUAAAUGACAUUCAGCGGUUAAACGGAUCUGUAAAGCUGAACAUCAGACACAAUGCAGUGUCAUUCCCCGUGGUCCUGUGGAUUUUCUCCCAGUAA